GGGGAUGUAGCUCAGCGGUAGAGCGUGUGCUUUGCAUGUAUAAGGCCCCAGGUUCGAUCCCUGGCAUCUCCA
rfam:Felis catus isolate Cinnamon breed Abyssinian chromosome D3, whole genome shotgun sequence.